CGACAGCUGGCUGGCCGAAGGCAGAUGACAGAGACAGACGAAAGGUCACAGAAAACGGGAAUGGAAUUCACAGAUUCGGUUGAAUUCUUGUGAUUAUUUUGUGAAGCAAAUAUUAUUUGAAAGUUCAAAUACUACAAACAUGGAUAUAGAAGAGUGUCUCAAAGAAUGGGAGGACUUAGUGGUGGAUUACAAACGUUUAGAGGUCACCAACAAAGACUAUGUCGCGAAAUUGGAGGAGGUUGGUGAGUUGCAAGCAGCCUGCAUGAAGGAGAUCAACCAUCAGAAAUACCGCAUGUCUAUCAUAGCGGCUGCGUUGAAAAGGUUAGAAAAGAAAACCGUCACAAAGGAUGAUCGCGUUGCUAACUUGGAGAAGGAAAUCAUGAAAAGGAAAGCCAUGCUGCGUGAGAUUAACGCGACGCUGCCGAAACAGAACAGCCUGUAUCUGCGCAUCAUACUCGGAAACGUCAACGUGUCUAUACUCAACAAAAAUGACAAGUUCAAAUACAAGGAUGAAUAUGAAAAGUUUAAACUGAUCCUCAGUGCUAUAGCCUUCGUGUUAGCUGUUGCUAAUCUUUACAUAGAUUUCAGGCCCCUUCAAUUAAUACUGUUGUUCCUGCUGGUGUGGUACUACUGCACUCUGACGAUUCGCGAGAGCAUCCUCAAGGUGAACGGAUCCAGGAUCAAGGGCUGGUGGAGACUACACCACUUUAUAUCGACUGUGGUCGCCGGUAUACUGCUCAUCUGGCCACAGAAUGAACCGUGGAAUAUGUUUAGACACACGUUUAUGUGGUUCAUCGCUUAUAUCAGUGUAGUCCAAUACAUGCAGUUCAGAUACCAAAGCGGAGUACUCUACAGGCUAAAGGCUUUAGGCGCUCGCCAUAACAUGGACAUUACCAUUGAAGGAUUUCACUCGUGGAUGUGGCGGGGGCUAUCGUACCUGCUGCCUUUCUUGUUCGGCGGUUAUGUAUUCCAAUUAUACAUCGCUUAUACAUUGUACAGCCUCAGUUACCACCCCGACGCCACUUGGCAGAUCCCAGCAUUAAGUUUAUCAUUCCUGACGAUCGGCAUCGGAAACUGCGCGACGACGCUCAUCGUGAUUCCUCAGAAACUCAACGAGCAGUAAAUAUCUGGACUUCAUAUUCCUAUUCAUUUUAUAAGGAGUCUGUAAUUUAUGGAUUUCUCGUAUAUUUUAUCUGCGCAUUGAGUGCAAGUAAUACACUUAGAUGUAAAGUGCUUUAACUGUACAUUAUUUAAGUAUUUAUAUUUCAAAUUAUUAUAGUUUGCGUUUAGUACAUUCAUUUAAGUAUGUUUAUUUAAAUAUGAACAAAUUUUGUGCUUGACAAAUGUUGUGUUUUGCUUUUAAGAUUUUGCAUAAAAACGUUGUUUAAAGGUUAUGCAUUUGAAUGAGUAGAUAUUAGCUUUUGCAAAAUAGCUUCACCGAUACAGUUGGCGUGGUCGGACAAUUUUUUCCAAUACUUGAUACAUAAAUUCCCUGUUUUGACCUCAUAAUUAUACAAAAUGUUUAAUAACCAAUAAAUGUGUUAAUGAAGUAGAAUCAAUAAUGAUCUAGAUACAUCGACCAAUAGCUUAUAAUUUCCUUGUAUUCUCUUACGUUCAAGCACCUAUAAAGUAAAUAGAGUACGGGCAAGUAAACACUACUAAGAAAACAUUUGAUUUAUAUAGGAAAAUAAAAUGGUUUAUCUUUUAUCUAGUUAACAUUAUCGACUCAAACAACGAUUAUGAAAAAUAAUACAUACUUAUUUCGAAAGUGUUUUGCACGAGUUAUUUGUACUAUUGUGCAUGUUUUGAUAUUCUUGUCUGCAUCAGAUUUGUCACUUGGAGGAUUGACGCAAAAAUGUACGAGUCUCUUUAUCUCUCAACUGUUUUUAAUGUAUGCUAUUUAAUGUUUACGUUUCUCAAAACCAAGUGACAUAUCGAAUCGCAUUUUAUAUGAUAUUUUUCAGAACUUUUACUGGAGAAAACAAUAGGUAGUAAAAUCUGCUUUUUAUAUGAUUUCAUGUGGAUCUGAUGAUAGUGUAUGUGAAUCUAGUUAUUGUAUGCAAUAAAAGGCACAAAUAGUUCAUUUUUAAUAAAGUUUUGGAGGGUUUAUUUAUUCAUUAAUUGCGCCAUACUUGCAUAAAUAUCUAUUUGUUAACUGCAUCACAAUAUUGGUCUUAAUUUUUUAUAUCUUAAAAUGGAAUGUCAUGUUAAUUUGGAACUUUAAAUUAUGAACAUAAAUAUAAGAUGGAGAAGUCAAACUAGCUAUAGCUUGUAAUUAGAUGAGCCGUCCUACAAAUAAUACAUAAUGACUAUGAUAAUAUUAAUGUGUUAUCAAACUUUUAUAGGGCUAGUCAUAUUCUGGCAAGGCUGUUUAGCUGUUACUUUAUGAUGGAAUUAAUGCAGGUAUCCUGAAUAUACUGAUAAUACUUUAUUGAUAAUGAUGUUAUCGUUUUGUUGUUAGACGUCGAUAUCACGGCAAUAACAAUAAUUUUACGCAACUGGUGACUUGUCCGGGCCACAUCUGCCAUCUUUGCUAUUUAUUACUACGUAGAUAAAAUUACAACGGUGAUUUUGUUAGGCUUUAUCUUUGUUAUUUAUUGGCAUUGUUAGCGAUACGCUUGGCUAUUGCUCUGGUGGUGGUAUUUCUAGAAUAUUAAAGGAGUGAUUAGAGCUACCUAUAUUGGUGCUACAUCUAUUUAUGAAAAAAAAACACGAGAUAAUGUUGCUAACAUUGAUGCUAUCGAAUUUGCAAGUUGUGGUCCGGGCAAUGUACAGAUAGAUACAGUAGUGAUAUUUAUAAUAAUUUAUGAUGCAGGAUAAUAAAGGGUAAUAGACAGGCUUGUACACAAGAGAGUGAAUAUUUCGUGCCUUGAUCAAACAAUAAACUAUUCGUAAUUUAGUGAUAAUGUUGUACUUAUGCUUUGUAUAUUCGAUUAAUUUAUAAUGGUUGUUUUAGCUCUUAUUUUGUAAUGGAUGUUAUUUAUUUGAAUGCAUUGAUGAAUAAAUUUGUUUUUUCAGCGA